UGGGGAAUAUUGGACAAUGGGCGAAAGCCUGAUCCAGCCAUGCCGCGUGAGUGAUGAAGGCCUUAGGGUUGUAAAGCUCUUUUGUCGGGGACGAUAAUGACGGUACCCGAAGAAUAAGCUCCGGCUAACUUCGUGCCAGCAGCCGCGGUAAUACGAAGGGAGCUAGCGUUGUUCGGAAUCACUGGGCGUAAAGCGCACGUAGGCGGAUUUGUAAGUCAGGGGUGAAAUCCCGGGGCUCAACCUCGGAACUGCCUUUGAUACUACAGAUCUCGAGUCCGAUAGAGGUGGGUGGAAUUCCUAGUGUAGAGGUGAAAUUCGUAGAUAUUAGGAAGAACACCGGUGGCGAAGGCGGCCCACUGGAUCGGUACUGACGCUGAGGUGCGAAAGCGUGGGGAGCAAACA
rnacentral:rRNA from 1 species